CCCGCGACAAGCGGUGAGCAUGUGGUUAAUUCGAAGCAACGCGAAGAACCUUACCAGGUCUUGACAUCCCGAUGCUAUUUCUAGAGGUAGAAAGUUACUUCGGUACAUCGGUGACAGGUGGUGCAUGGUUGUCGUCAGCUCGUGUCGUGAGAUGUUGGGUUAAGUCCCGCAACGAGCGCAACCCCUAUUGUUAGUUGCCAUCAUUCAGUUGGGCACUCUAGCGAGACUGCCGGUAAUAAACCGGAGGAAGUGGGAUGACGUCAAAUCAUCAUGCCCCUUAUGACCUGGGCUACACACGUGCUACAAUGGUCGGUACAACGAGUUGCGAGUCGGUGACGGCGAGCUAAUCUCUUAAAGCCAAUCUCAGUUCGGAUUGUAGGCUGCAACUCGCCUACAUGAAGUCGGAAUCGCUAGUAAUCGCGGAUCAGCACGCCGCGGUGAAUACGUUCCCGGGCCUU
rnacentral:rRNA from 1 species